AGUCGUAACAAAGUCCCUAGGUGAACCUGCAGAAGGCUCAUU
rnacentral:rRNA from 1 species